GUACAGGGGAGGGGGGAGGGGGCCAGGCAGCCGUUAGACAGCACAACCGAACCCAACACCGGGGCCCAACGGCAGGGGCUUGGGCAGGAGCAAGGUCCGAGGGCUGCCAGGUCCACGCUGCUUUUAUGAGCUGUAACACUCACCGCGAAGAUCUGCAGCUUCACUCCUGAGCCCAGCGAGACCACGAGCCCACCGGGAGGAACAAACAACUCCAGACGCGCUGCCUUAAGAGCUGUAACACUUGCCGUGAAGGUCUGCAGCUUCACUCCUGAGCCAGCGAGACCACGAACCCACCAGAAGGAAGAAACUCCGAACACAUCUCAACAUCAGAACGGACAGACUCCAGACGCACCACCUUAAGAGCUGUAACACUCACCGCGAGGUUCCGCGGCUUCAUUCUUGAACAAUGAAUCCUCCAAUGUACCUGACUCUCCCUUUGCGAAGAGCAUCUCCGUGGCAGAAAUCUGAAAAUGCCCCUGGGGAGACACAUGCACAAGACAGUUCGUGAGCCACACAUCUCCCCACACCAAGCUCCUCCAUACAAGACCUCGGACUGCAUCACGUAAAUGCUUUUUCAGGGGCAAAAUCUAGAGAAUCUGAAACGAGCUAUCAGCUUCCCAGUUUGCACAAUUCAUCAAGAAAUUAUGCGGGGUCACUGGCACAAAUGAUGAGGCAUCUCCUGGAAGCUUAACUUCUUAUCCAUCCCAUCUCUUGGACAGAUGAUGCCAGUUAAUUACUUUGAAUGUGGCCUAGGGAUUUCUGGGAGGAUCCGAAGAACAAGGCUGUCUGCAGUAGGAGCCUCCUGUUCCUCGCCACCUAAGCUUCAGCCCUGCCCAACUAACAGCUCUCCAUGUUCUAAAGAAGGUGGGAGUGCUGGACCACCCCAGCCUUCUGGAACCCCAGUUCUGUGACAUUAUCCAUCUCCUGGAAAUAUGCUGGUUUUAACCAUGCAAACUGGCCAAGCAUCAGGCAGAAAUAGCAGCUGUGCCUGGAAGGACAGGUGACAUCUGUGAAGAAAAUGGCCAAGCAGGACAGGGUGGAGAGCACGGGCUGUUCCCUUCCUUUCUGGGAACAGCACCACCUUUGGGGGAACUCCUUCUCUCAUGGGGUUUUAGGCAGGGGCUGCCAGUCCCAGGGCCCUGCCUCCUGUCACCCCCCAUAUGCAUAGGAACACUUGUGCACCAGUCGCUACAUUUGCAAGUGGAAGCUGGUGGAGCUGCUCAGCUCCCAACAGGAAGCCCAUGUGUGCGGGGCCAGAGGACACAGCCCAUCUGAGGCGCUAAGCUUCUGUGAAGAGGGAGUGGAGUCUGGAUGGGAUUCCAAUCCCACGGUCCACCCCUUCUGGGACCCAGACUCACCCUUCCCCUUCCUUCAAUUCUGAGAAACAAUAAAUGUCCCUACUUGCGAACAA
ensembl:lncRNA novel transcript